rnacentral:rRNA from 1 species
AUUGAACGCUGGCGGCAGGCCUAACACAUGCAAGUCGAGCGGGGUUUUCGGACCUAGCGGCGGACGGGUGAGUAAUGCGUAGGAAGCUACCCGAUAGAGGGGGAUACCAGUUGGAAACGACUGUUAAUACCGCAUAAUGUCUACGGACCAAAGUGUGGGACCUUCGGGCCACAUGCUAUCGGAUGCGCCUACGUGGGAUUAGCUAGUUGGUGGGGUAAUGGCUCACCAAGGCGACGAUCCCUAGCUGGUUUGAGAGGAUGAUCAGCCACACUGGAACUGAGACACGGUCCAGACUCCUACGGGAGGCAGCAGUGGGGAAUAUUGGACAAUGGGCGCAAGCCUGAUCCAGCCAUGCCGCGUGUGUGAAGAAGGCCUUCGGGUUGUAAAGCACUUUCAGUAGGGAGGAAGGGUGUUGUGUUAAUAGCACAGCAUUUUGACGUUACCUACAGAAGAAGCACCGGCUAACUACGUGCCAGCAGCCGCGGUAAUAC